UACGAAGGGGGCUAGCGUUGUUCGGAAUUACUGGGCGUAAAGCGCACGUAGGCGGAUAUUUAAGUCAGGGGUGAAAUCCCAGAGCUCAACUCUGGAACUGCCUUUGAUACUGGGUAUCUGGAGUAUGGAAGAGGUGAGUGGAAUUCCGAGUGUAGAGGUGAAAUUCGUAGAUAUUCGGAAGAACACCCGUGGCGAAGGCGGCUGACUGGACCAUUACUGACGCUGAGGCGCGAAAGCGUGGGGAGCAAACAGG
rnacentral:rRNA from 1 species